rnacentral:tRNA from 1 species
CCCCGGGUAGCUCAGUUGGUUAAGCAUCUGACUUCAGCUCAGAUCAUGAUCUCGCAGUUUGUGGGUUCAAGCCCCAUCCCAUGUU